UUGCUCUGGCAGCACAUAUAUUAAAAUGGGAAUGAUACAUCGCAGACUAGCAUGGCCCCUGCCAAAGGAUGGCAUGCAAAUUCAUGAAGCAUUCCAUAUUUUU